rnacentral:rRNA from 1 species
CUAGCUACAGGCUUAACACAUGCAAGUCGAGGGGCAUCAGGAGAAAGCUUGCUUUCUUUUGCUGGCGACCGGCGGCACGGGUGAGUAACACGUGGGGAACCUGCCCCAUAGUCUGGGAUACCACUUGGAAACAGGUGCUAAUACCGGAUAAGAAAGCAGAUCGCAUGAUCAGCUUUUAAAAGGCGGCGUAAGCUGUCGCUAUGGGAUGGCCCCGCGGUGCAUUAGCUAGUUGGUAAGGUAAAGGCUUACCAAGGCGAUGAUGCAUAGCCGAGUUGAGAGACUGAUCGGCCACAUUGGGACUGAGACACGGCCCAAACUCCUACGGGAGGCAGCAGUAGGGAAUCUUCCACAAUGGACGCAAGUCUGAUGGAGCAACGCCGCGUGAGUGAAGAAGGUUUUCGGAUCGUAAAGCUCUGUUGUUGGUGAAGAAGGAUAGAGGUAGUAACUGGCCUUUAUUUGACGGUAAUCAACCAGAAAGUCACGGCUAACUACGUGCCAGCAGCCGCGGUAA